CGGGGCGUGGCUCAGCUUGGUAGAGCGCCUGCUUUGGGAGCAGGAGGUCACAGGUUCAAGUCCUGUCGCCCCGA
rnacentral:tRNA from 1 species